rnacentral:rRNA from 1 species
GAGAAUAAGCUUGCUAUUCGGCGUCGAGCGGCGGACGGGUGAGUAAUGCUUGGGAAUAUGCCUUAUGGUGGGGGACAACAGUUGGAAACGACUGCUAAUACCGCAUAAUGUCUACGGACCAAAGGGGGGGAUCUUCGGACCUCUCGCCAUUUGAUUAGCCCAAGUGAGAUUAGCUAGUUGGUAAGGUAAUGGCUUACCAAGGCGACGAUCUCUAGCUGGUUUGAGAGGAUGAUCAGCCACACUGGGACUGAGACACGGCCCAAACUCCUACGGGAGGCAGCAGUGGGGAAUAUUGCACAAUGGGCGAAAGCCUGAUGCAGCCAUGCCGCGUGUGUGAAGAAGGCCUUCGGGUUGUAAAGCACUUUCAGCGAGGAGGAAAGGGGUGUAUUUAAUAACUGCAUCCUGUGACGUUACUCGCAGAAGAAGCACCGGCUAACUUCGUGCCAGCAGCCGCGGUAAUACGAGGGGUGCAAGCGUUAAUCGGAAUUACUGGGCGUAAAGCGUGCGUAGGUGGUUUGUUAAGCAAGAUGUGAAAGCCCCGGGCUCAACCUGGGAACUGCAUUUUGAACUGGCAAACUAGAGUAUUGUAGAGGGUAGUGGAAUUUCCAGUGUAGCGGUGAAAUGCGUAGAGAUUGGAAGGAACAUCAGUGGCGAAGGCGGCUACCUGGACAAAUACUGACACUGAGGCACAAAAGCGUGGGGAGCAAACAGGAUUAGAUACCCUGGUUAGUCCAC